GCGUUGGUGGUGCAACGGUUCAGCACAUGUUCGUGGAAAGAGUGAGAUCUGGGUUCGAAUCCCGGCUGACACA